UGAACAGAGUAAUCAAGAUUGAUGUAAUAAUGGAGGAUAUUGAGUUUACUGUAUUGAUUACUACUACAUUCAAUAAUAAUUUGCUGAAGCCUGGGCAUACUGUUUUGGAGCAUGUAUGAGAAUAGAAUUAAUGCCAGGGAUAUGGGGACCUUUUAAGUUCAUAAAGGAGCUCUUUGAUCAAAGCACUUCCUGUGGAUCGAGGCCAGUGCUAGCCUGGCUGACAGUGAUGCACCUGGACAGCAACACUUCAUACAGUAGAGACCAUGCCCACCUACAGGAAUAAGUAAUUCAUGAAUGAAAUCCUCACUAAUGUUUAAAGAAACUCAAAGCACUGACAACGCAAUGAGAAGUGGAAAAGCAUACCAGGUAAUAAAAUACAACAUGAGAGAUCAAUGAAGGUAUGCAUCCCAGUGUUACUCAUGAAAAGAUUGGAAGUUCAAUAGUCAAGACCAUCAGUGGGACUAGCUGGCCAGAAUACACUUUACACCAGCCUAGAUUCUACUCCAGUGUAAUGUUGAAUAGAGGUAGUGAGAGGACACAUCCCUGGUUUUUCCUAAUCUUCACAAAAAACAUUGAGUCCUUCACCAUUUUGAAUGCUCAUGUCUGUCUGGAAAUUCUCCGUGGAAGAAUGUGCUAUUUCUUCCAGUGAUUUCUAUUUAUCACUGAGCUGGGGAACACCGUUGGCAAUGUAGAGAAGAUGAAUGCCCUGCAGGUUAGAGACCAACAGCAGGAGUUUCUCCCAUAAAGACAAAUGUCCUAAAGAUUUAUCUGUUUACCUACAUAAUUUUUUUUCUCUUUAAGAUACCCAGGGAUUUUUGUGUCCCAUUUGGCACUGAUUUGUAAGGUACUGUUGUCAAGACAGAAAAAAGAAAAAAAAAAAAAGAAUGUUAAAUAUUUUCAUUCAAUGAAAGAUUGAAUGAAAUGAAAAAUACCUAAUUUUGUAGACAUUUAGGGAGUAGCGGAAACUAUUUAAAAUAGUUAGUGAGUUCCAAAACAAUAUCAUCAAAACCUAAUUACCUUUGAUAAUGUAUAUACAUUAAUGACCAUUCUGAAUUUGCUGUAUGAGAAAACAGCAUGUUUGAUACAAUUUCAACCCUCAUGCAAAGUAAAAAAAAAAAAAUUUAUUCUUUAUAUCUACAAAACGUCUGAGCCAUUUUGGAAAACAUACUAUUUAAAGUAACAUACUUUGAACAUUAACUUUAUAAAUUGGCAUGACCUACACUAUACCUAUUAAAGAAAAACAUGUUAUACAUAAUUAGCAGUAAAUCAUAAAUACUCUCUACAAUUAAUUCCAAAAGAUCUACACAAUUAUCAGAAAGUUCAAAUAGCUUCUGUAAAGUGCAAGUGAUGUCAUAUUGUAAUGUAAAUACUCACAUUUUAAUAAAAUUACAUAUAUUAAUACUGGCGUUUAUAUUAGUUGAAUGUAGUAUUAAGAUAACACUAUGUGCCAGAAAUGGUGGCUAGUGGUCCAUUCGUCCCUCACAGAAGGAUGACAAGGUUAUCUUUUUUUACCCUAAUU